rnacentral:rRNA from 1 species
GAUGAACGCUGGCGGCGUGCCUAAUACAUGCAAGUCGAGCGAACAGACGAGGAGCUUGCUCCUCUGACGUUAGCGGCGGACGGGUGAGUAACACGUGGAUAACCUACCUAUAAGACUGGGAUAACUUCGGGAAACCGGAGCUAAUACCGGAUAAUAUAUUGAACCGCAUGGUUCAAUAGUGAAAGACGGUUUUGCUGUCACUUAUAGAUGGAUCCGCGCCGCAUUAGCUAGUUGGUAAGGUAACGGCUUACCAAGGCGACGAUGCGUAGCCGAACUGAGAGGGUGAUCGGCCACACUGGAACUGAGACACGGUCCAGACUCCUACGGGAGGCAGCAGUAGGGAAUCGUCCGCAAUGGGCGAAAGCCUGACGGAGCACAGCCGCGUGAGUGAUGAAGGUCUUCGGAUCGUAAAACUCUGUUAUUAGGGAAGAACAAAUGUGUAAGUAACUAUGCACGUCUUGACGGUACCUAAUCAGAAAGCCACGGCUAACUACGUG